CAGCAGUGAGGAAUAUUGGUCAAUGGCCUAACGGCUGAACUGGCAACUUGGAGAAGUGGCAAGUCUUCCAGUAUGGGGAGCAAAACAGCUAUGGGUCAAGUCCGAGAUCUUUAGGAGAAGUCUUAUUGUGAGGGCGAGUUAUAUAACACCAUAGGACUGGCCGUCCCAUAUGAAAAGAUUAUAUUAGAAUUGAAUGAAGCUUUGUUUAUAUAUUGAUAAUGACAGUAUAUAUAUCGUGUCUUGACUAAUUGCGUGCCAGCAGUCGCGGUAAUACGUAAGAGACUAGUGUUAUUCAUCUUAAUUAGGUUUAAAGGGUACCCAGACGGUCAAUAUAGCUUAUAAAAUGUUAGUACUUGACUAGAGUUUUAUGUAAGAGGGCAGUACUUGAGGAGGAGAGAUGAAAUUUCGUGAUACCAAAGGGACUCUGUAAAGGCGAAGGCAGCCCUCUAUGUAAAAACUGACGUUGAAGGACGAAGGCACAGAGAACAAACAGGAUUAGAUACCCAAGUAGUCUUUGCAGUAAAUGAUGAAUGCCAUAGGUUAGAUUAAUAGUUAAUGUUUAUAGGCUAAUUAUUGGCUUAGCUUAGCAAACUAAUGCUAUAGACUAGACAUUAAAAAUUAUUUGGUCUAUAAAUGAAAGUGUAAGCAUUUCACCUCAAGAGUAAUGUGGCAACGCAGGAACUGAAAUCACUAGACCGUUUCUGACACCAGUAGUGAAGUAUGUUAUUUAAUUCGAUGAUCCGC
rnacentral:rRNA from 2 species